rnacentral:tRNA from 1 species
GGGUAAUUAACUUGGUAAUAGAGUCCUUCGUUAUAUCGAAGGAGAUAAAGGUUCGAUCCUUUAUUACCCACCA